rnacentral:rRNA from 1 species
UACAGAGGGGGCAAGCGUUGUUCGGAAUUACUGGGCGUAAAGGGCGCGUAGGCGGCCUUCUAAGUCGAACGUGAAAUCCCUGGGCUCAACCCAGGAACUGCGUCCGAUACUGGAAGGCUUGAAUCCGGGAGAGGGAUGCGGAAUUCCAGGUGUAGAGGUGAAAUUCGUAGAUAUUCGGAAGAACACCAGUGGCGAAGGCGACUUACUGGACGAUUGUUGACGCUGAGGUGCGAAAGCGUGGGGAGCAAACAGG